AACGAACGCUGGCGGCAUGCCUAACACAUGCAAGUCGAACGAGACCUUCGGGUCUAGUGGCGCACGGGUGCGUAACGCGUGGGAACCUGCCCUUAGGUUCGGAAUAACUCCCCGAAAGGGGUGCUAAUACCGGAUAAUGUCUUCGGACCAAAGAUUUAUCGCCUUUGGUUGGGCCCGCGUUGGAUUAGCUAGUUGGUAGGGUAAAGGCCUACCAAGGCGACGAUCCAUAGCUGGUCUGAGAGGAUGACCAGCCACACUGGGACUGUGACACGGCCCAGACUCCUACGGAAGGCGGCAGUGGGGAAUAUUGGACAAUGGGCGAAAGCCUGAUCCAGCAAUGCCGCGUAAGUGAUGAAGGCCUGAGGGUUGUAAAGCUCUUUUACCCGGGAUGAUAAUGACAGUACCGGGAGAAUAAGCUACGGCUAACUCCGUG
rnacentral:rRNA from 1 species